rnacentral:lncRNA from 1 species
UUUUUUUUUUUUUUUUUUUAACAUACAUGAAGCCCUGAGUUUGAGCCUACCAUAGUAAGUUUGGGGCCCUUGGAAUAUAUGAACCUCUGGGAGAGAUGGGGGCAAGUAGAGACACAGGGAGAGUGGGUGGGAGAGGAGGACACUUGGAAGAGUGGCAAGUACUUUUUCCUCUUCAGUACUUUAUAUGUGUGUAUGUAUGUAUGUGUGUGUGUGUGUGUGUGUGUAUAUAUAUAUAUAUAUAUAUAUAUAUAUAUAUAUAUAGUUUUUAAGUGUAAUCUAGGAUGUUUGUGUAUUUCCCUAUUAUGACUUUUUUUUUAAAGAUUUAUUUAUUGUUAUAUGUAAGUACACUGUAGCUGCCUUCAGACACACCAGAAGAGGGCAUCAGAUCCCAUUACAGGUGGUUGUGAGCCACCAUGUGGUUGCUGGGAUUUGAACUCAGGACCUUAGGAAGAGCAGUCAGUGCUCUCAACCGCUGAGCCAUCUCUCCAGCCCCUAUUAUGACUUUUUAAAAAGCUAUCUGGUUUGUAUCUUAGUUUUUGGUUUGGACUUUACAAAACUUAAAUAAGGGCUAGAGAGAGAGCUCAGUGAAUGAGCACAAGUAAAUCCUAAAAAGAUCAGGUGUCAGUGGUUGGCUAGAGGCUGCUAGCAAAGAGAGGUUAAGUACAAAGGAGUAUGGGUAAAUUGGUUUUGUGGAUAACAGAAAUAGAACCAGUGGUCUCAUGAAUAAGGAUAUAGCAAAUUAUUUUAUUCAAGGCCAAGUAAAAAUAUAGAGUUCAUAUGCUACAGGGGAGCUGCUGGCUCCAGUGAGCCAUGGUUACUAUUUGGGGCUUUCUUUUGCAGGCCCAAGAAAAAAAGGAGUUCUUUUCUAGGCAUGGUACGCAGGUGGCUUUUUGUUUUGAUUCAUAGGCUGAUGUUAUGUUUUUGUUCACUGCACAUGUCCUUUCUUACAUUGCAUCUUGUUUUAAUUAUAUGCAUGCCCCAUCAUGACUAGGCAUAGGGUAGUUAAUAGGUGAGUUUCCCAUGCAAGUUCACUCACAGGAUAGUUUGGCAUAGUUUAGACUAGAUUGUCCCAAUGCCCUUAGUUUGGUUACAUGUUUGGCCACAAAAGGGGAGUUUCUAAGGGUUUCUCAGGAACUAAGCUUAAUGCAGGUGAGGGUCUCAGGUUGCAAGGUACAUUAUUGAAAAAGCUGUGUAUGUAUAUAUAGCUCAAGCUAAGUGGGGACCUAGGUUGUCAGGCUAUGUCUAUGCUCACCAGCCUUAGAAACAGUUAUAUGGCAGAAUAUAUGUUAUUAAAUUGUACACUUAAAAUUGGCAAAUCAGUGCAUGAAGUUAUAUCUCAGUAAAGUGAUUUUUUUUUAAAGUACAAGUAAAGCUCUUUUUUUUUUUUUGACCCUUUCAAUAUGGGUUUCUCCAUUCCCUGCAAAGUUUUCCUUCCUUCAUAGUUAAUCAGGUAACUGCUAAUGACUACUGAAUACUAUUUUAAAUUCCUGUGCUGUGUCCACAUGCUUGCAUACAAUAUACACAGAUAUACAAAUAUACAAAUAUACACAGUGAUAAACUGUAUUAUUGCUGGGUUCUCAUAGAGUUCAGGCUUUGAUAACCUUGUCUUCCUGAUCCUCCACUUUCUAUCUGACAAGAGCUGGGAUUACAAAUGUGCCUUAUCACAGAUGGCAGAAACGUGUGUUUUGUUUUAGAGUCAGUCUCAUGUACUUGAGGCUGGCCCCUGCAGCCUGUACUCUGCAGUGGAGCAUAUCCUUGGUCUUCUCAUCAUCCUGUCACCACCUCCCAUCUGUGGGGAAUGAAUAAACUCAAAGCUUUUAUGACAAGACUUUCAUUAACUGAGCUAUAUCCCUAAAAAUCUAUUUUCAUAUCACCUUACUGUAUUUACUAUUUGUCCUCCAUUCCACUAAAGCUACUUUGGAGAUAUUUUUAUUAGGAUACUGUGUAUAGUUCUGAUUUAUUUUAAUUCCUCAUAUUAUCCUAGAGUGUGGAUAUACCAUAGUUUAUAGGUCAUAUCCCUGUCAUUAUUUGCAGUAUGCCAAGUUCUCUGUUUCCUUAAUGCUUUCAGACAAGAGGAACGGUGGGCUCUUGCCAAUAACAUUAAAUAGGAAGCCUUAUUUCUGAACAGAAGACAUCACACAUUGAACCUAAGAAAUAGAGAACUGCUCAAACAAAAAGUACCUUCCUAGAGAAAAUACUUAAGAGCUGGUGAACACUAACUAGGAAGGGUAGGAUUGUGGGCGCUACUAACGGUAAACUUUAGCAAUAGUUAUAAGGUGACAUUCUUAGAUAAUUUGCUUCCCCCCUACAUCGUAUUUUGUAACCAGUAAAACGGUAGUAAAUUCUUCAUUAUUAUUCUGGGAAUAAUAGGAAUGAAUAGGACAGACAAGGUUCCUGUUUCAGAAACGCAGUCUUUAGUUGACCUCUCAAAAAAUUAGUACUCUACUGGGUGUGGUGGUACAAGCCAAGAAACCUGGCCAUUCUGGAGGGUGAUGUAGGAGGAUCACAAAUUCGAGAGCAGUUUGUCAUCUCAAAAGGAAAACUGUCCACAGUGGUAGAACGCUCUUAGCAAGCUUUGAAAUCCUGGGUUCCAUCCUCAGUACUGGAAGCGGAUGGAAAACCGUCAUAGCAUUCUGAUGAUUCUUGGCGUCAUGCCUAGGAGUUUUCCACCUUUACUCUGCCAGCAGGUCUGUUUUUAAUUCUCUCUGGAGAAGCUAGAAUCAGAUGCUGCCCUUGUGAAGGCCAGCCACGCUUUAAUUACUAAUACUUUCACCCAACUGCAAAAAUCAGAGACCCCUUUAUCCUUAGAGGGAUACUUUAGAUGUCUAUAAGUUUUUUUCAAAAAAUGAAUAAAAUUAAGUCUAUGCGAGUAAAGACU